UACGUGAGGGGCGAACGUUGUUCGGUGUCACUGGGCUUAAAGGGCGCGUAGGUGGCUGCGUAAGUAAGGUGUGAAAGCCCUCGGCUUACCCGGGGAAUUGCGCCUUAUACUGCGUGGCUUGAGGAUCUCAGGGGAAUGGGGAACUCCAGGUGUAGCGGUGAAAUGCGCAGAUAUCUGGGGGAAGGCCGGCGGCGAAGGCGCCAUUCUGGGAGAUUCCUGACACUGAGGCGCGAAAGCUGGGGGAGCAAACAGG
rnacentral:rRNA from 1 species